UACGUAGGGUGCGAGCGUUAAUCGGAAUUACUGGGCGUAAAGCGUGCGCAGGCGGUUCGUUAAGACAGAUGUGAAAUCCCCGGGCUCAACCUGGGAACUGCAUUGGUGACUGGCAGGCUAGAGUAUGGCAGAGGGGGGUAGAAUUCCACGUGUAGCAGUGAAAUGCGUAGAGAUGUGGAGGAAUACCGAUGGCGAAGGCAGCCCCCUGGGCCAAUACUGACGCUCAUGCACGAAAGCGUGGGGAGCAAACAGG
rnacentral:rRNA from 1 species